UGUUAAUUCUUGAGGCUCAACCUCAAAUCUGCAGUAGAAACUAGGAGACUUGAGUAUAGUAGGGGUAGAGGGAAUUUCCAGUGGAGCGGUGAAAUGCGUAGAUAUUGGAAAGAACACCGAUGGCGAAGGCACUCUACUGGGCUAUUACUGACACUCAGAGACGAAAGCUAGGGGAGCAAAUGGGAUUAGAUACCCCAGUAGUCCUAGCCGUAAACGAUGGAUACUCGAUGUUGGACGUAUCGACCCGUUCAGUAUCUUAGCUAACGCGUUAAGUAUCCCGCCUGGGGAGUACGCUCGCAAGAGUGAAACUCAGAGGAAUUGACGGGGGCCCGCACAAGCGGUGGAGGAUGUGGUUUAAUUCGAUGCAGCGCGAAGAACCUUACCAGGGUUUGCUAGAAGUGUUGGUUUUCUGAAAAGAAUUCCUUAUUCCGCUUCUACAGGUGGUGCAUGGCUGUCGUCAGCUCGUGUCGUGAGAUGUUGGGUUAAGUCCCGCAACGAGCGCAACCCUUAUUUUUAGUUCUAUUGUCUAGAAAGACUGCCGGUGACAAACCGGAGGAAGGUGAGGACGACGUCAAGUCAUCAUGCCCCUUACAACCGUGGGCUACACACGUCCUACAAUGGGUAAGACAAUAAGUUGCAAAUUCGCGAGAAUAAGCUAAUCUUUGAAACUUACUCCAAGUACAGAUUGCAGGCUGCAACUC
rnacentral:rRNA from 1 species